rnacentral:rRNA from 1 species
CACGUAGGGCGCAAGCGUUGUCCGGAAUUACUGGGCGUAAAGGGUGCGCAGGCGGUCUCGUAAGCUGGGUGUGAAAGCCCCGGGCUUAACCUGGGAAUGGCAUUCAGGACUGCGAGGCUUUGAGUGUGGCAGAGGGAGGUGGAAUUCCACGUGUAGCAGUGAAAUGCGUAGAGAUGUGGAGGAACACCGAUGGCGAAGGCAGCCUCCUGGGCCAGCACUGACGCUCAUGCACGAAAGCGUGGGGAGCAAACAGG